rnacentral:misc_RNA from 1 species
CAUUAAUUAAUUAUUCCUCAUCACUAAGAGACAGUGGAAAAGAUUUUUUAUCCAUAAUUAUGUAGUCGGUACCAUGUUGGAAGCAGAGUGGAACUCUUCAGAACUGGGGUAGAGCACGUGUACGUUUGGUUGUCUCUAAAUAUUUGAUCAAUCUCUGACACGAACUUUCGGGAACUCUCGGAAGGCUACCAGAUGGUCACCACACAAUCACACGUACAAUAUGUGGCCCCGUGAGGUGUUUCGCCCUAUCUUGUGAGCGGGAGAUUGUAUUGUUUUAAUUUUUAUGUAUCGACAGCGAUGUAGAGAACGUAUAUACUGUGCACCCCGUUUACGAUUUUUAUUUUGUAAUUUGAUGCUAUAAGCGUGCGUCGAAGCCUUCUGACGUUUGUACCCAACGCUUGUUAAUAAAAGUUGAUAUUAUU